rnacentral:rRNA from 1 species
GGGAAACUUACCAGGUCCGGACACAGUGAGGAUUGACAGAUUGAGAGCUCUUUCUUGAUUCUGUGGGUGGUGGUGCAUGGCCGUUUUUAGUUGGUGGAGUAAUUUGUCUGGUUAAUUCCGUUAACGAACGAGACCUUAACCUAUUAAAUAGUCGUGGGAACCCAGGUCUUUCAUCCCUCUUCAGCAAUGGGGGGGGAAACCAUUAUCAUAUUGGUACCCUCUGGGUAUCGUGUGGUAGUGGUGAGGAUCUGAUAGUGUUCUUAUAGGCUUCUUAGAGGGACUCUUUGCAUCUUUAGCAAAUGGAAGUUUGAGGCAAAAACAGGUCUGUGAUGCCCUUCGAUGUUCUGGGCUGCACGCGCGUUACAAUGACGCAUGCAACGAGUUAUUAAAUUCCUGGCCCCGAUGGGGUUGGUAAUCUUUUUAAAGUGCGUCGUGAUGGGGAU